rnacentral:rRNA from 1 species
UUUCUUUGGGAAUGAUUAUUUUGUGACUGAGUGGCGGACGGGUGAGUAACGCGUGGGUAACCUGCCUUGUACUGGGGGAUAGCAGCUGGAAACGGCUGGUAAUACCGCAUAAGCGCACAGGAUUGCAUGAUCUGGUGUGAAAAACUCCGGUGGUAUAAGAUGGACCCGCGUCUGAUUAGCUGGUUGGUGAGGUAACGGCCCACCAAGGCGACGAUCAGUAGCCGACCUGAGAGGGUGACCGGCCACAUUGGGACUGAGACACGGCCCAAACUCC